rnacentral:rRNA from 1 species
UACGUAGGGGGCAAGCGUUGUCCGGAAUCAUUGGGCGUAAAGAGCGCGUAGGCGGCCCUGUAAGUCCGCUGUGAAAGUCAAGGGCUCAACCCUUGGAUGCCGGUGGAUACUGCAGGGCUAGAGUCCGGAAGAGGCGAGUGGAAUUCCUGGUGUAGCGGUGAAAUGCGCAAAUAUCAGGAGGAACACCGAUGGCGAAGGCAGCUCGCUGGGACGGUACUGACGCUGAGGCGCGAAAGCGUGGGGAGCAAACAGG